rnacentral:rRNA from 1 species
UACGUAGGGUGCAAGCGUUAUCCGGAAUUACUGGGCGUAAAGGGUGCGUAGGCGGUUCGUUAAGUCUGUCGUGAAAUCCCCGGGCUCAACCUGGGAAUGGCGAUGGAUACUGGCGAGCUAGAGUGUGUCAGAGGAUGGUGGAAUUCCCGGUGUAGCGGUGAAAUGCGUAGAGAUCGGGAGGAACAUCAGUGGCGAAGGCGGCCAUCUGGGACAACACUGACGCUGAAGCACGAAAGCGUGGGGAGCAAACAGG